GGCUCAGGACGAACGCUGGCGGCGUGCUUAACACAUGCAAGUCGAACGAUGAACCACUUCGGUGGGGAUUAGUGGCGAACGGGUGAGUAACACGUGGGCAAUCUGCCCUGCACUCUGGGACAAGCCCUGGAAACGGGGUCUAAUACCGGAUAACACUCCYRCACUCAUGUGUGGGUGUURAAAGCUCCGGCGGUGCAGGAUGAGCCCGCGGCCUAUCAGCUUGUUGGUGAGGUAAUGGCUCACCAAGGCGACGACGGGUAGCCGGCCUGAGAGGGCGACCGGCCACACUGGGACUGAGACACGGCCCAGACUCCUACGGGAGGCAGCAGUGGGGAAUAUUGCACAAUGGGCGAAAGCCUGAUGCAGCGACGCCGCGUGAGGGAUGACGGCCUUCGGGUUGUAAACCUCUUUCAGCAGGGAAGAAGCGCAAGU
rnacentral:rRNA from 1 species